ensembl:misc_RNA
GUGGAAGCUCUGGAGACUGAAGUCCUCCAUUUAUCUACAGACCAGGGAGGGCACAGGCAACAACAAUACAAGUUACCCCCACAUUGACAGCAUUCCUCAACCUUCUUCUGGAAGCACUGCCUCUGUGGGCUAGAGAGUAAUUCAUUCUCCGUGUCCAUUCAGUUCUUAGAGCCU